CUUUGCCCAGUUCCAAAGUAAAAUGUCGAAAAUAUGCUCGUUUGAAACAAAUGUUGGCAAGAAAAAUUCUAAAAAAUCACAAAACUUAUCAAUACUUAAGCCUUACUACUCGCUGUUUUCUAAGGCAGUAAGAGAAACUUAUAAACCAAAUAAAACUAUUCAGUUCCUCGAAAGGAAAUUAUUUUAUAUAAUUUUAGCUGGUGCUGAUGGACGGAUCAAGAUGAGAAUAAAACCUGACUUCAUUUAAGCAAAGCAGUUUUGCACAAUAUCCAAGCUAUAGGUAUUUAUAAAAUAUUUUCAAACAUGUAACGUAUUAAAGCGAGCGUUGCAUAAAAACUACAUGUUAAAUAGAUGUAAACAAAAUGAACAUUACAAUGAAAAAUUGCCCAUUGUUUCCGAUAACAUUGUGUGAAGAAAUGUCUAUACCUACUCGCCAUUACCAGCAGAAAAAUUUGUUAUAGAAAACACAUAUUAUUUUAAUGGUUAAUGUUAACUAAAUGAUUGGCAUAUAUUAUCAGGGCCCCAGUGAAAGUCUGCAUAGGAUUCCAACAUCGAAAUGGUACAUGAUUUAUUGCCAUUUGUUUUAAUGUAAAUGAUUAUCUAUAAAUACAGAUGCUGAUUAAAGUCACGAGACUCUAAGCAGGUUAAAGGAAUUGUGAAAUAACUUAUGUUUUUCCAUGUAGCUUUAAUGAGCCACAACAUUAUAUUCGAUGAUUUUCUCAAACUGUUAAACAGUUAAAAACAUUCAUUAGUACAAAAAUUAUUUUACAUUUUACUUACGCAACAUUCGCAUGCAAACAUUGCAUUUUGUACAGGCUUUUGGGAUUAAAAAAGUUUAAAUUCAAGAACUGAAUUUCAGCUACUUCUUAUUUGGUUAUUAAUAAGCAACUUCUUCGUAAUAGUCUAUGAAAUAUUUUCACAUGAAUUAUAAUACACUUUGAAGGUGUUUUUCCUUUUGUAAACUUUUCCUGCUUUGAAACCGUCAAUGGUCAAUAAAUCAUCUACUUAGAAUUGUUUGAUUUAUGUUUAAAAAAAUGUUAUUAAUUUCCAGCAAUUAAAUAAAACUGUUAUGUAAGUAUCUGUAGAUUGUAGAUCCUGUACAUGUCUCGUAACAGCUACACAGUAUUCUCUACUAGCUAAUUUAAUACGGCGCCUUCAACCUGACAGCAACGUAAAUAUAAAUACCUUAUUAUUUUACAUUAAUUUGUUUAUUGACUUUUUCCACUAUGGGGGAGCGAAGGUUAAACUGGGAGAGCAUUUAAUCAGUUGUUGACUGUAUGUAUAAAUAUAAAUAUGUUUAUUAUUGGAUUUAUCAACCAAAAGUUCAAUUCCAAAUCGAACAAAUCAACAUAAGGGCAGCAAAAGAGAAAAUCCCCGCACAUAACUAGAAGAAAGACACCGAAUAGACGAAAUAUCCUGGACUCGAAAAUCUACUUACAGAACCGCUAGGAAGUGAAUCCACAGUAUAUCCACCUCUAGUAUAAUCUGGGCAAAUUAUUUUCCAGAAGAAGAAUAAAGCAAAAAACAGACUUCUAGGAACAUACUAUACAUUAAAAUUAUUCACCACAUUUGCAUACCUGUACCCAUAAAUUAUAUUCCAUUGCAUUUGCAGGUACAACACAGUUGACAUCGAAACUUACUUCCGCUUCACCCCUUUUUCGUUAGGGUUUUAAUUAGGCAUUGAAAUGCCCGAGGGCGAAAGGAAUUGCGGCAUUGUGUUUCUAUUAUUUUUCUAAUAAUGAAACUGAAAUAAUUUGAAAUCUCUUUAAUAGGGUUUUAUUCUUUUAACGGAAACUGUUGGUUCUAGCGGCCGUUUUAAUUUUAUAUAAUGGAAAUGGAAAACUAUAAAGAAAUAUACUUUAUAUGGAACUUUUUGUUAAUUACUUACAAAAGAGUUUGUCUUCAAAUU